CAACCUGGUUGAUCCUGCCAGUGGUAUAUGCUUGUCUCAAAGACUAAGCCAUGCAAGUGCCAGUAUGAGUGAUACAUAUAACGAAACUGCGAAUGGCUCGGUAAAACAGCAAUAAUUUCUUCGGGGAAAUACUACUGGAUAACCGUAGUAAAGCUAGAGCUAAUACAUUUUUUACCCUCGCGACUUCGGUUGCAGGUACAAAGUAUUAGGUACAAGCCAAUUCUUUUAUUGGUGAUUCAUACUUUUUCGUCAGAUCGCAUGCGUGCGUGUGACGCCCCGUUCAAAUUUCUGACCUAUCAACUAUGAUGGUAAGGUAGGGUCUUACCAUGGUUGUGACGGGUAACGGACCGUGGGUGCGGGAUUCCGGAGAGGGAGCCUGAGAGACGGCUACUACAUCCAAGGAAGGCAGCAGGCGCGUAACUUACCCAAUGCGGACUCCGCGAGGUAGUGACAAGAAAUAGCAAUAGAGGGCCCGAUGGGCUUUCUAAUUGGAAUGAAAACAAAGUAAACAAAUUAUUGAGGAACCAGCAGAGGGCAAGUCUGGUGCCAGCAGCCGCGGUAAUUCCAGCUCUGUAAGCGUAUACCAAAGUUGUUGCAGUUAAAACGCUCGUAGUCGAACCUUGGUUUGGCGGGUUUUCUUGUGCGCUCGCAAGAGCGUUGCAGGGACGGCCACCUUUGUGGAUUGGGUUAAGCAGCGUGGUGCUUCAUUGCAUUGCGGUCUGGGCUCCCACCUUUUACUGUGAAUAAAAUAGAGUGUUCAAAGCAAGCGAUUGCCCUGAAUACAUUAGCAUGGAAUAAUAGAAUAGGACCUGGAGUUCAUUUUUCUAUUGGUUUGUUGAGUUCAGGUAAUGAUUAACAGGGACGGUCGGGGGCAUUUGUAUUGCGGCGUUAGAGGUGAAAUUCUUGGAUCGCCGCAAGACAAACAGCUGCGAAAGCGUCUGCCAAGGACGUUUUCAUUGAUCAAGAACGAAAGUAAGGGGAUCGAAGACGAUCAGAUACCGUCGUAGUCUUUACUAUAAACGAUGAGGACUGGGGAUCGGACGUGGCCGCUAAAUUCUAGGUACGUUCGGCACCCUCCGCGAAAGCAAAGUGUUUGCUUUCUGGGGGGAGUAUGGUCGCAAGGCUGAAACUUAAAGGAAUUGACGGAAGGGCAUCACCGGGUGUGGAGCCUGCGGCUUAAUUUGACUCAACACGGGAAAACUUACCAGGUCAGGACAUUGUAAGGAUUGACAGAUUGAGAGCUCUUUCUUGAUUCAAUGGUUGGUGGUGCAUGGCCGUUCUUAGUUGGUGGAGUGAUCUGUCUGGUUAAUUCCGUUAACGAGCGAGACCUGGGCGUGCUAGCUAGGCGCUACUACUGCUUUUGGUAGUAAGGCAGCCUACCUAGACGGACUGCAGGCGUCUAGUCUGCGGAAGCUCCAGGCAAUAACAGGUCUGAGAUGCCCUUAGAUGUCCUGGGCUGCACGCGUGCUACACUGAAUGGACCAACGGGUGAGGUAAUGCGAAAGCAUGACCCAAUCUCUAAAUCCAUUCGUGCUGGGAAUAAUGGCUUGCAAUUUUCCCAUUUGAACGAGGAAUACCUUGUAAGCGCGGGUCAUCAUCCCGCGCUGAAUACGUCCCUGCCCUUUGUACACACCGCCCGUCGCUCCUACCGAUUGAGUGGUCCGGUGAGGCCUUGGGAGAGUUGAAUCGACUGUUGUUUUACACAGACUUUUUGGCUUGAACUUGGUCAAACCUUAUCACUUAGAGGAAGGAGAAGUCGUAACAAGGUUUCCGUAGGUGAACCUGCAGAAGGAUCAAGCU
rnacentral:rRNA from 1 species